rnacentral:snRNA from 1 species
AGAGAAUCACUUGAGCCCAGGAGGUCAAGGCUGCAGUGAGCUGAGAUCACUCCACUGCACUCCAGCUUGGGUAACAAAA